rnacentral:rRNA from 1 species
AGCGUAGACGGAUGGACAAGUCUGAUGUGAAAGGCUGGGGCUCAACCCCGGGACUGCAUUGGAAACUGCCCGUCUUGAGUGCCGGAGAGGUAAGCGGAAUUCCUAGUGUAGCGGUGAAAUGCGUAGAUAUUAGGAAGAACACCAGUGGCGAAGGCGAUUCUCUGGACUGUAACUGACGCUGAGGCUCGAAAGCGAUGGGGAGCAAACA